AAGCUGAGAUGUUGUAGCCUAUAAAGAUGUGGCAUCAUAUAAUUAGUCUUGAAUGCUUUCUGUGCUCCCCUCACAGUGAUCCUCAGUGCGGUGAGAUUAAAGUGUAAUGAGCUGGUAGAUGGAUUAGUGCCUGAGGAAAUUCCACAGAAGUAUUUACUGUCUUCCAGACCUAAGGUUGAAGUCAUUCAGGAAAGCUUACACUGUUAAAUAUUACUGUGAUUUCACAAUACCUUACAGUAUUAUUUCACAGUAAAUUACUGUACUCAAAUAUUUACUGUAAAAUCACAGUAGCUCUAUCACAUUACAGCACCUUGUUGUGAAAUUUGAAUUGCACUUGAACCGCACAGCAUUGUGGGGCGAUUUCUAACGUUCCCCCCUCCCACCCGCACCUGCUGCCACCCUCAACUGAAUUUUCAACUCAGCCGUCCACCAGUGACUUCAAUCAUCACUUUUCUGCAUGUGUAAGCUGUACAAACUCUGCCAUCAUAUCCAAGACAUUGCAUUGUGAGGACUGGUGCCCUGGGAACACUGAGCGCAUUCUCGAAAAUUCCAAAUUUGUGCCACUUCCAUACGAAGACAGCCCAGAAUAAUUGGGCUCCAUCAACCAUUCCGGGUAAAGUCGGUCUGUCCUGAUUGCACUACUUGCUAAUUGAUGACGUCUAGAAGCCAUAGCUGCUUCCCUCAACGUGGCAGCCCUCACAAAUAAACUGAUACCAGGAAUUAACAUACAGUAGAUGGUGAUGGUGGUGGUGGCAAGGGUGCCUUCACAAGGUGCCAUGUCACAAUCUCAGUGUGGAGCCAAAGGCUGCUAUUGCAAGUCAGAUGGGGGACGAUCGAUGUAAGGCAUCAGAAAGGUGGUGUACGUACAAAGGCUGGAGCUGCUGGAGACAGUGUUGCACUUAGAUACUUGAUUUACUGCCGAAGGUACCAUCAGAGCACCACCCUACCCCUGCAGGACCAGAAGAGGACGGACAGGGGGCCAACAUUUUUUAACACUCUGACCAUGGACUAUUUAAACCAUUGAGGUAACGCAGACGUCUGAUCCCACUUGGCUAAAACAGAAGACUGAGGAGGAGUUUCUUUCCUCAUGCCAUUCGCAUCCUGAGCACACAUACUACAUUACAUGGACUUGCCAUACUGCACUUACACACUGCACUAUUUACCCCCUGACUCAUUCCGUGUCAAAUCAGACAAGGUUAUGCUGCACCGUCUCAGGCCUGUACAAUAUUUUUUUGUUCAAUCCUAUGUCUUCAUAUUAUAAUGUUUGUAUGGCCUGCUCAAUGAUUUUCAUUGAAAAGUGUUCAUUAAAAGUUCAAAUGGUA